UACGAAGGGGCUAGCGUUGCUCGGAAUUACUGGGCGUAAAGCGCACGUAGGCGGUCUUUAAGUCGGGGUGAAAUCCUGGAGCUCAACUCCAGAACUGCCUUCGAUACUGGAGACUUGAGUCCGGGAGAGGUGAGUGGAACUGCGAGUGUAGAGGUGAAAUUCGUAGAUAUUCGCAAGAACACCAGUGGCGAAGGCGGACUCACUGGCCCGGUACUGACGCUGAGGUGCGAAAGCGUGGGAGCA
rnacentral:rRNA from 1 species